CACAACAUGUAAUCAUCGGAAUGUGGAUUGGAUUUUGAUUAGCUCACAGGGUUUUAGGUUAAGCGGGGUGUCCAGUGUUGAAACCUAAACCUAGUUUAGGUUGUUCGUAUCAUGUGCAGUCCUUAUUGCCAAGGGGAAUUUUAAGCACACGCUUAAGCAUUGUGGUGAGGGAGAUCCGAACAUGAGGCAUACACAUCAUGGAUGGGCUGUAUUAUGGUGCGGGAGAUAUUGAACCACAGGCCCAGGCAUUAUCGGAGGGCUGUAUUGCAGGGAGAAGAUCGGAACCGCAUAAAAGGAGGGAUGCCAAUAGUUGAGCUCUCAAUGUUGGGUAUACAUCAGGCGAUAAAUUUCAUGGCAAUAUUGUAAGUGUAGUCUCUGCCUUGUGUAUGCCAUUGGUAUCUUCAAAGGCAUUUUAAAUGUAGAAUUUGAUUCUUCCAUGAUAUGUUGAAUCAUGGGAUUCCCAUCCUCUUAAGAGUGGAGAUUGCUUGUUGUUGGGCUUCUUACUGUCUUCCAGACUACAUGGAUAAUUUACUUUGUAAUCCUCAAGUUUUCUUCCGAGGCAAUCACGAUUGACAUGGAUUUGGGAGAGCAUGAGGAUUCUCAACAGUAUGAGUACCUUAAAGUCAAACCUGGAAUUUCCAUCCAGGCAUUUGCAACUGACAUUGAUUUGGAUGAGCAUGAGGACACUUAGAGGGAUGAGUCCUUCAUUAUUGAUCAUAUACGGCAGAGCAGGGUCUAGAGGACAUUGAAUACUUUAUAGCCACCCUAGCAUACUACAAAAGGAGAUUCCUUCAGGAUAUCAUCUGAAGAUGGUGUCAACUCACUCCAGGCAUUUGCAACUGACGUUGAUUUGGAUGAGCACGAGGACACUUAGAGGGAUGAGUCCUUCAUUAUUGAUCAUAUACGGCAGAGCAGGGGCCAGAUGACAUUGAAUACUAUAUAGCCACCCUAGCACACUACAAAAGGAGAUUCCUUCAGGAUAUCAUCUGAAGACGGUGUCGACUCACCACCAUAGGGUGAUGGGAGUUUGCUCACUGAGUUAAGACAUCGGAGUGCAGAGAGAAGUUGAGAACAACUUAGAGGUGAGUCAUCUAGAGCACCAGAAUCAGAGGCAGAGACUGAAUCGACAGUAGCUGGUUCUCUGCCAAGACCUCUCUUCUGGGAGGAAAGAAAAGGUCAAGCUUUGGUGCACGGGCAGAGUUGCACAAGGAAAUGGUGAAUUGAUCUAAGUUGCCUAUUUUGCAUGGUGGGAAAUUUUUGUAAGGAUAAUAAUUAUAUCCCAAAUCCCGAGAAUAACUGGCGUGAAGAUGCAUAAGCAUUAGCUUGUGCAGGAUUAUGAACUACACAAAAGACAUUUGGACAAGGUGAAGGCAUUCUGUUUCGAAGUCAUGGCUGAGAAUUAGGACUAGGGGAAAUGGUAACCGAGCUCUCAAGAACUAAGUACAGACAAAGAGAUCCAAGAAGGGAUUUGAGGAGGCUUUGAGAAACGAUUCGAAGUUAAAAAAAGAGUUGGCUAAAUUUUGAACCAAGGAAGCUUUUAGAAGCGAUUCAACUUUAAACCAGAGUUGGAUAAAAUUUGAACCAAGGAAAGCUUUUAGAAAUGAUUGGAGUUUAAACAAAGUUGGUUCAAUUUUGGAUGAAGGAAACUAAAUGGUAGAAACAGAUGAAGGCCAAAGAUUUAAAAGGCACAAUGCACGAGUCAAAGAUUGAGCAUGGGAGCAUUACAACAAUACAAAGAUAGCAGUGAAGAGGAUAAUAUUUACAAGGGAUGCACUUAGCCUUAUCAAUGACUAGCUCCACCAGACCCACACUUCCGCUCACAUGCUAGAGUUGGACAACUCUAUUAUUAGUACUUGUUCUGUAGACGUGCCAGCUCCUAUCUAAAGUAAUCAUCAAGGAUGAUGUUUUACUUUUGAAAGGGAGAUAAAUGUUGGAAUGAGCUUUUUACUUUGAAUAAAAGCUAAAAUAAAAGCAUGAAUAAAAGAGUGUUAUGCUAUACUGUGUAGGCGCUGAUUAAUUUUUUGACAACAAUGGAUUGUUUCCUAUGGGGAUGGUGUCUACUAUUACCUCCAUGUUUUUGCAUUGGGUUCAAUUGUAGAACAAGAUUUGGCAUUAUGUGUGAGAUCAACUGUAAAGACUUUCGUAUCCCAUGGAAAAUUGCUUGCUUUCUUAUGUCAUGACUAUAUCUCUAUAUGCACGGUGCAUGCUAAAUGUUCAAUGAGUGAUAUCCCGGUGUUUGUAGAGUUUUUCGGCAGGAUCAUCCGAAAUUGUCUCUAUUUUGAUUUGUUUUUGUAUCCCUAUGCACAAUCCCAUUGUUCCAACGUGUUUCCGUUUCGGUUGCAAGAUUCUGAAAUGUCAUUGGAAUGCCUGUGCUCGAGGAAGGACUAGUAGUAUGAUAUCAACAGUUUUCUAGACACUAAUAAAUUCCCUUUUUGGGAACAUUAUCUGAAACUUUUCCUUGUCAUCUGAUUGUGUUUCUGUGUUUCCAAAUAAUUUGUGUUUCAUCUUUCACGAGAUUUUUGAUGAGUGAAAUAUUAGUUUUGGUCGGUCUUGCUGACUAUUCUUAAUUUGAGGCCUUUUUCCGUAUAGUAUUUAUUGCUGAUGAGACUGCAGAGUAUUUGAUUUGAAAUUUGUUUUUACCGUCUUGUUUCAUGGUUCAACAUUUGACUUGGGAGUUCAAGGUCACAGGAAAUAUCACGAGCAUCAAUGUUUUUAAUCAAGCUAUUACUGGAAAUAUUCUGCUCGGUACUUGCGGUAAGCCUUUCAACAUAGGUGAGUGGCUGUUAUAAGUAACUUGUGUCAUUGCAGGACUGUAGUAAACAUAAUUUGUUUGCAAAUAAAGCUAGUCUUUUUUUUAAAUGAAAAUAAAAUGCAUGUUUUAACAACAUAUGAUAUUGUUUCUCAAGAACAAAACUGUUUUAUUUUUUAAUUUAAUAGCAUUUUUUUGAUGAGGUGUUUGGCUUUUUUAAUAUAUAUAUAUUCUUGUUUGUUUAAGGUUUAUAUCUGUUCCAUUAUCAUUCUCAUGGUGUAAUGAUUUCAGUUCAUGACUUCUCAUGACUAAUCAACGUUGAAUGGUAUAUGAGAGCCAAUGGAAGAAGAAAAGGACAAGAGGGAGGGAAAUGUUAAAAAUGUGUUCUAAUUGACAUUAUGAAGGAUUUCAUAGAGAUGAUAUUUUAGUACACUUAGGAAUUUGACCCAGUUGAAGAAAAUUGUACCUAAUUAAAGGCUGUCUAAUGUUGCUCAUGUAUAGCUGCGUGGCUAUCGCUAUAAGGGGAAAACUAAUGUAGCUUAUGUUUGUAAUAAACCUGUGCAGUCAUGGCAUUAACAUUCUAUUGAUGACAUAUUGCUAUUUGCCUUUAGUACAUUACAGGGCAUGACUAUUGUGAUCUUAGUUGAUACGUUUCUUGAGGAAUAUAUGCGGGCCAAUAUUUUGACA